rnacentral:ncRNA from 1 species
UAAACGGAUUAUCAGGACUAAGACGGGAACACAGUGUGAAUCUGAGACAUUACCCGAUGCUGUAAGCCUAUACAAAACAUACAGGCAAUCAAAGUCACUGAACAGAAAUGCGUUUCAUUGUUUGGGAAGACGAGCCUGCAUGAGGACGAGUCAGAAGACCUGCCUGUUAUUUAUG